rnacentral:rRNA from 1 species
AUGCAUCCGUUUCGUGUCCCGGUGGCCGCCGCCGUGCUCUGCGCAGCCACAAUGCUAAGUGCUGCUCUUGCCACCCACGCCCUAAGCACCACCUCGCCCCCGACGUUGCCUUCAUCGUCCACCUCCUGCGACCCGGCGAUGUGUGGGGGCCUGCGCAUCGAGUACCCGUUCUGGCUCGGCGGCACGCACCCGCCAGAGUGCGGCUACCGCGCCUUCCAGGUCACGUGCGACCGCAACGGCACAGCCUCCCUCAGGAACUCCUUCUGGACGAACCAGAUCCUGGAGAUCAAUUACGGAGACAACAACGGCACCUUCCGGAUCACCAACGCCCAGCUCGCCGACGGCACCUGCGACAUCGAGCUCCGCGUGAACGCCUCCUCCGACCUCAGCCUCGCGCCCUUCACCAUCAGCGCUGCCAACCAGGCGAUCUUCUUCCUCUACAACUGCACAGACCUGCAGGCACAGCCGCCGCCGCUUGCUUGGGCGCCCAUUAACUGCACGAAUGCCAACACGUCCACAUUCAACUCGUUCGCGUUGCUCGCCGGCGGGUACAAGCCCGACGACAAAUGGGAGCCGGUGCCGGGGAGCUGUACUGUGUCGAUGAUGCCCGUGCUGGGGUACCCUGGGGCGACCGGGGCGGACUACCGGCGGCUGAUGAAGAGCGGGUUUCUUCUCGAGUACACGGCUGACGAUUGCAGGGCGUGCGAGGAGAGUGGAGGGCUUUGCCGGAUUAACACCACCUACGAUAUCUUCGGGUGCCUCUGCUCUGACGGCCUGUCUGACCUCAUCAUCUGUGGUAGUUCAGGUAGCAAGAGGACUAGCAAGAUUAUUCUAAUAGCUGUGACAUCAGCCGCUGGAGCCUUGCUCUUUACAUGUAUUUAUGUCCUGGUAUGGCGCAAAAAAGGGAAAAGACUAAGGUUUCUCCUUUGCAAGAAGACUAGCAGCAACACCGAAAAGAAUUAUGAGGCCAUGAUAGUAUCGUACGGAUCCCUAGCUCCAAAAAGAUACAUGUAUUCAGAGGUAAUGAAGAUAACAUCUUCUCGCAGCGAUCAGCUUGGAAAAGGAGGUUAUGGUGUUGUUUUCAAAGGAAGACUGCAUGAUGGUAGUCUGGUCGCAGUAAAAUUCUUGCAUGACUGCAAAGGAAAUGGGGACGAGUUUGUUAAUGAAGUUAUGAGGAUUGGCAGAACCUCUCAUGUUAAUGUUGUUAGCUUAUAUGGGUUUUGUUUGGAGGGAUCAAAGCGAGCUCUUAUAUAUGAGUACAUGCCCAACGGUUCCUUGGAUAAGUACGUUUAUUCAGAGCACCCCAAAGAAAUUUUAGGAUGGGAGAGGCUUUAUGGGAUAGCAAUAGGGAUUGCUCGUGGCCUCGAAUACUUGCACCAUAGCUGUAAUACACGUAUCGUCCAUUUCGAUAUCAAGCCCCAAAAUAUCCUUCUAGACAAAUAUUUUAGCCCAAAGAUUGCUGAUUUUGGUCUAGCUAAAUUGUGUCAUACAAAAGAGAGCAAGGUUUCAAUGACUGGUACUAGAGGAACAAUUGGAUUCAUCGCCCCAGAAGUCCACUCGCGAACCUUUGGAGUGGUUUCAACAAAAUCGGAUGUUUAUAGUUAUGGAAUGAUGCUUCUAGAGAUGGUUGGAGGUAGGAGAAACGUAAAAUCAAUUGUUGCAAAAUCCAGCGAAAAAUAUUUUCCAGAUUGGAUUUAUGACCACUAUGCGCAAGAUGAUGGACUAAAAGCAUGUGAAGUCACAUCAGAAAUUGAGGAUAUCGCAAGAAAGAUGACCUUAAUAGGCUUGUGGUGCGUACAAAUAUUGCCUGCAUAUCGCCCUACCAUAACAAAAGUUCUAGAAAUGUUCGAGAGAAGCUCAGAUGACAUGGACAUGCCACCGAAGCAAAACUUCUCUGGAUUGCUUGAAAGUUCAGCUCACAAUAUGGAUGUACAAAGUUCAAGUUCUACCAGAUCAGAGGAGAACAGCCUUGUAAAUUCAAAAAUCCUACAACAAUCGCCAACUCUUUGAGCAGAUAAGCCUUGUGAAUCAAAGAACCUACAUUCAUUUCCAACACUGUGAGAUGGUGGCCCUGUACUAGAGUACAUUCAGAAAUUGAACAAGCGCAACAAAAUUCUGCAUUGUACUAGAACAUACUCCAUGUAUGCAUUUUUUUGACAAAGGGUG